UACGGAGGGUGCAAGCGUUAUCCGGAUUCACUGGGUUUAAAGGGUGCGUAGGCGGAUUCUUAAGUCCGUGGUGAAAUCUCCAAGCUUAACUUGGAAACUGCCAUGGAUACUAUUAGUCUUGAAUGUUGUGGAGGUUAGCGGAAUAUGUCAUGUAGCGGUGAAAUGCAUAGAUAUCGUCAAGAACACCGAUAGCGAAGGCAGCUUACUGGGCUGUAACUGACGCUGAUGCACGAAAGUGUGGGGAUCAAACAGG
rnacentral:rRNA from 1 species